rnacentral:lncRNA from 1 species
AUUCAUACUCUCGGUAAAUGAAUGAGGAGAGCCCCAUGUGGGAUUACAAACUUGCUGGAAAUGGAUGAGAAACCUUCUGCUCUGCUGGAGUUUAUCUUGAGUGUGCCUUAAAAUUCCAUUUCAUGGAGAACUGUGCGUGGUUGAAUUUUGAUUGAUUACUCAAUUAACUGAUGUAUUGGUAGAGUGAUUAAGAAAGAAGACUUUGGGAUCAGACCAACCUGGUUUUGAAUUCAAGCUCAGCAACUUACUAGGUAAGGAGGAGAAAAGAAAGAAGGAAAAAUUGGAAAGAUAAAUGGGGUCUUUCCAGUGAAGGCUCAAUUUUCCUACAUAAUUAAGAGUUUGGAAUUCGGGCAAUAUCAAGAACCACAUCUGUCCUGAAAUCAAUUAUCUCUGUUUGUGGCCAUGGUCCAUGCCUCCUUUACUACAUCAGAUCCACCUAGUCCCUGGACUAAUCAGAAACACAAGAAAUAAGAAGACCAUUUUGAGAAGAACAGAGAGUAGCCUUAAGAAAAUCCCUGUCGCAAGCACUCUGGGAUUUGGACUCAAAUGCUAAUUAUACAAUGAGGAAAUUGAGAUACAGAAAGGUGAAGAAAUAAUGUCACAUAGUAGUGGAGUCAGAAUAAAAAUGCAGACAGGAACCACUUGGGUGCCCAGCUGCUGUCCAUUCUCUACACUUAUCCCACCUGAUGGAAGGCUGUUAAGAAAAACAUCACUGCAAUGCCUAAUAAACAGACAUGGGUCCCAGACCCAAUAAGAGUGAAACCAUCCCCCUAUUUAAAUGAAAUUAUGGCUGAUGAGAAAGACAAAUUAAUUUCUCUGUCCCUAGUAUUACACAAAACUUUGGAUGCUGCCAUUGUUACAAUUUUAUUUUCCCCAGGAGCUCAGAGUCCCACCUUCAUUCUUUUUGUUUAAUGCUUAAGCUUGCCUGUCCACCUAUGGAAGACUAGAAUGAGCAAAGACCAUGUAUUCAAUGAUCUGUAAAUCUAACAGGAAACAAUAUAAUAAAUAUAUUGUGUUUGCUAACCAAA